CCGUCGAUAGCUCAGUUGGUAGAGCGGUGGACUGUAGUGGACAUUUCUGUAGUUAUCCAUAGGUCGCUGGUUCAAAUCCGGCUCGACGGA
rnacentral:tRNA from 1 species